AGAAUCUUUCGCAAUGCCCGAAAGGGUGACGAAGCGACGCCGCGUGUGGGAAGAAGGCCUUCGGGUUGUAAACCACUGUCGGGAGUUAAGAAAUGUAAGGAUGUUAAUAGCGUCCUUACUUGACUAAGGCUCCGGAGGAAGCCACGGCUAACUCUGUGCCAGCAGCCGCGGUAAUACAGAGGCGGCAAGCGUUGUUCGGAAUUAUUGGGCGUAAAGAGCACGUAGGCGGCCUUGAAAGUCAGUUGUGAAAGCCUUCUGCUUAACGGAAGAACAGCAUCUGAUACUACAGGGCUUGAGUGCGGGAGGGGAGAGUGGAACUUCUGGUGGAGCGGUGAAAUGCGUAGAUAUCAGAAGGAACGCCGGCGGCGAAAGCGGCUCUCUGGCCCGUAACUGACGCUGAGUGUGCGAAAGCUAGGGGAUCAAACGGGAUUAGAUACCCCGGUAGUCCUAGCUGUAAACGAUGGGCACUAAGUAGAGGGGUUUUGAUUAUCUCUCUGCCGGAGCUAACGCAUUAAGUGCCCCGCCUGGGAAGUACGGCCGCAAGGCUAAAACUCAAAAGAAUUGACGGGGGCUCGCACAAGCGGUGGAGCAUGUGGCUUAAUUCGAUGCAACGCGAAGAACCUUACCGGGGUUUGACAUGGUAGAAGUAGGAACCAGAAAUGGUAACGAAUGGUAUCCAGUCCAUAGCUAUCACAGGUGUUGCAUGGCUG
rnacentral:rRNA from 1 species